UACGAAGGGUACAAGCGUUGUUCGGAAUUACUGGGCGUAAAGCGCGCGUAGGCGGACGCGUAAGUCGAUUGUGAAAGCCCUGGGCUUAGCCUGGGAACUGCAGUCGAAACUGCGUGUCUUGAGUGCCUGAGAGGAUGGCGGAAUUCCCGGUGUAGUAGUGAAAUACGUAGAUAUCGGGAAGAACACCUGAGGCGAAGGCGGCUAUCUGGCGGUGCGACUGACGCUGAGGCGCGAAAGCGUGGGGAGCAAACAGG
rnacentral:rRNA from 1 species